CUCCAACAACCCCCAAACCCAGUCCUCACCUCCCACAUGCUUUUCAUCACCCGCUCUCACAUCCCAUCUGGGGCCUCUGCUUCCAUCCUACCAUUUCGCAAGCCUGGCCAACUCAAGCUCCGUGUGCUGCACCUAGAGCAGCCCAUCUCUGUGUCAGGGAGGUGAGCUGCUCAGUUGCCAGAGUAUCAACCUGAGCCCAGGACACUGCCAGACUGCUGAGUCAAAGAGGGUUUAGCAGCCCAUUUUCAUAGACAGACAGGUGAGAGGAGGAUGCUGGACAUGGUCCCAGAGACAUGGGGACUCAAGAAACAUGAAGAUCUGUUCACAGCUAAGGGCACAUUUCCAUGCCGAGAAAUCAGGCGUGAGCGCAAGAGUCCUAUCGUCUACCAGAAAAAGAAAUCUUUGGGAGCAUUCAAGGAGGAAUGGCUUCAUGAUGGCAAUGAGCGGCAUCGCCUGAAAGACAGCCUUCGAGAGUCUCCCAGAGCCGCUGAGGAGCAAGGCAGAGAACUGCAAUCCAAGCAAAUGUGGUGGGUGUGAAGCUUUCAAGAAGUUGGGUCAAGAACAAGGACUGAAAGAGGAGCAUCAAUUUAUGGGGGCCACUGAGGCUUUCAGAGAUUUUGUGACCUACCAAACUGGCACAGCUAGUAAAUGGAUGACAAGCCAUUAACAUGGAAAGAAGAAGAGGCAUCCAAAGUGUUGGGUCCGCAUCGCCCUUGCCUUGGAGGAAGCUCCAAAUAGAGGGAAGGAUGGUUUCCAGCAGUCCCUGAAGUGCCUUUCCUCCUUCGUGGGAUCCAGUUACACCCAGCAGACUUCAGUUUGAAUAAACAGAACUAGAUGAAUACACCUAGGGAAUCUGUGAGGCCAGCCUCAGCUUUUAACAUCCAGCUACAGGGAGGCUCUCGCUCACCGGGAGAUUAACCCGCCAGGCUGCUGAGUGAGAGGGGACAGAGUAGGCCCUGACGGGAGGCCUGGGACGCAGGGGAAAUCAAAACAAGUCCACCUGCUUAAGGAGACUGCCGCACUGUGACCUCGUCCUCCGGACAUCUGUGGCAAGUGUUACCGCAGCCACUGAUGUGGCGCACUGGGCCAUUUACAGCUGCCUCAUGAUAUUCUUUUUCACGACUGUGUUUACACUAUUGUUUAACAACUUUGUAUAACAAUCUCUUUUCACUCCAAAUAAACCUUAGUGCCUGGAAGGCCAAGAGUAUCUUC
rnacentral:lncRNA from 1 species